rnacentral:rRNA from 1 species
AUGUACAUUCCUACAACAUAGCGUUAAUGUAUCAGAUCCCAUUAGGACUCUACAGUUAAGCGUGUUCGGGCUAGAGCAGUACUGGUAUGGGUAACUACCCUGGAAGUCCUAGUGUUUUACAUG